rnacentral:rRNA from 1 species
UUAUACGAGAGUUUGAUCCUAGCUCAGGAUUAACGCUAGCGGUAUGCAUAACACAUGCAAGUCGAACGGGCAGCAAUGUCCGUGGCAAACGGGUGAGUAAUACGUAUUCAAUCUGCCCCUUUGAGUGGGAUAACCUGGUGAAAAUCGGGACAAUACCACAUAGGAAAUAGAUUGGCAUCAAUUUAUUUUUAAAGUUGGGUUAAACCAACACUAAGGGAUGAGAGUGCGGCUUAUCAGAUUGUUGGUGGGGUAACGGCCUACCAAGUCUAUGACGAGUAACUAUGCUGAGAGGUAGAAUAGUCACAAUGGAACUGAGAUACGGUCCAUACUCCUACGGGAGGCAGCAGUGGGGAAUUUUUCACAAUGGGCGAAAGCCUGAUGGAGCAAUACCGCGUGGUGGAUGAAGGUCUUCGGAUUGUAAACACCUUUUAUUUGGGAAGAACGAUUCACAUAGGAAAUGAUGUGGAAGUGACUGUACCAUUUGAAUAAGUAACGGCUAACUUCGUGCCAGCAGCCGCGGUAAUACGAAGGUUACAAGCGUUAUCCGGAUUAACUGGGUGUAAAGGGAUGCGUAGGUGGAUUGACAAGUCUGGCGUUAAAUGCUACAGCUCAACUGUAGUAUGCGUUGGAAACUGUCAUUCUAGAGUGUGUUAGAGAGUUAUAGAACUCCAUGUGAAGCGGUGGAAUGCGUAGAUAUAUGGAAGAAUACCAGUGGUGAAGACGAUAACUUAGGACAUUACUGACACUUAGGCUCGAAAGUGUGGGGAGCAAAUAGGAUUAGAUACCCUAGUAGUCCACACCGUAAACGAUGAUCAUUAGAUUUUUAUGCUAAGGCAUGAGAAUCGUAGCUAACGCGUUAAAUGAUCCACCUGAGUAGUACAUUCGCAAGAAUGAAACUCAAAACGGAAUUGACGGGGACCAGCACAAAUGGUGGAGCAUGUUGUUUAAUUCGACGAUACACGCAAAACCUUACCUAGGUUUGACAUCCGGGGCAAUGCUAUAGAGAUAUAGCGGAGGCUAACCCCGAGACAGGUGAUGCAUGGUUGUCGUCAGCUCGUGUCGUGAGAUGUUGGGUUAAGUCCCGCAACGAGCGCAACCCCUCGGAAUAGUUAUUUUUCUAUUCCUACAGCUACCGCAAGGUAGAGGAAGGUGGGGACGGCGUCAAAUCUUCAUGUCCUUUAUGCCUAGGGCCACAAACGUGCUACAAUGGUCGAUACAAAGAGUCGCUACUCAGUAAUGAGAUGCUAAUCCCAAAAGUCGGCCUCAGUUCGGAUCGAGGGUUGCAACUCACCCUCGUGAAGUUGGAAUCAUUAGUAAUCGCGUAUAAGUUAUGGCGCGGUGAAUACGUUCUCUGGUCUUGUACACACCGCCCGUCGCACUAUGAGAGCUGUUAAUACUUGAAACCGUCUUGAUAACGCAAGAAUCGGACGUCUAAGGUAGGAAUGGUGAUUGGAGUUAAGUCGUAACAAGGUACCCGUACGAGAACGUGCGGGUGGAAAACCUCCUUU